AAAAUAAGAAUAGUAAUUUUUACACUUUCUUUUCUUUAAUUACACUCUAUUUUAUGUCUUUAUUUGGUAUAAGAUUAUCAAAAUAUUCAAGUAUUUAUAUUAUCUAAACUAUGUUUUCUCAAAAUAUUCUAAAGGACAUUUGAGUAUUUUUCCCUAAUUAAAAAAAAUAAGUGGAAAGAAAAGAAGAAUAUAAAAUCAUUGCCUAAAUUAAUAAAAACAUGCUAAAAUGAAACUUUCAUGACUAAAGCUAUUAUUUAAAAAAUAUAAGACUUUGUUUGGAUAAGUGUGCCAUUGGAUACUUUUAUUAAAAAAAUAUUUGAAUUAUAUUUAUUUCAAUUAAUAUUUAUUUUGAAGAGAGAGAAGAGCGAUAUACGUGAAUUUGUCAAAUAAUAUUUAUUUUGGAGUUAUUAAAUUUUUUUUUAUUUUACCAAUGAAAUUCAUAGGGUAAUUUUUCUUAAUUUAAAAAUAUCUUGCUCUAUUCCCAUCGAAACAUACUUGACAAAUUUGGAAUGGAAUUUUAAAUUUUUUAAUUUUAAAUUCACAUAUACUUAAGAAUUCGUAAAAAAAAAAUGAAUGAGUGAACACGGAAUUGAUCCAAAAAUGGGCCCCAUCAUAGAAGAGUGCACAUUGACCAAGUUAUCAAUUUCGUAUUUUUAUUUUUAUUUUUUUUGAUUAAUCACAUAGUGUCCUAAAAAAAGCCUUUGGGCCCAUCCAGACUAAUCUCUGUGCCCUAAGCAGCUAGCCCUUCACACCUCAGGAUGUAAACACGGAUAUGCGACGCAGCCACCAGGAUUCGAACGCGAUACCUCCGAGUGUUAGCUCGUGUACCUGACGUCCGCCCGAAACGACUGCGCCUUGUGCCCGGGGGAAGAGGUGAGAAUCGAAUCCUGAACCGUAAGUCCUGAUAAGGCCGCGCUUAUCACUUUGGCUAAGCCUUGUAUUUUUUAUAUUUUAUUUUACGCUUACUAUCAGUUUGGUUAUAAAUAGGGAAUCCCAAAAUCUUACUAUAUUGUACAACUCGAUAAAAUGGGUUCCAGGAAGUUGCUUGUUUUGGAGAUCUUUCUCUUGACACUUAUCCUUCUCUUGGCUUUUGAAGUGGCUGCAAGGGAACUGCUUGACGUCACAGGUAAGUUUCAAUCUGGAUUCUUGCUUUUGGGAACUGCUUUGGCUUUAGGUUGGUCAGUCGUAUUGGCUUUUGGAUUCUAACCGUUCAUAUGUAGGAUUUUCUGAAAAAUUAUAUAACGAUUUCUGAAAAAACUUUAAUUCUAUAAAAAUUUAUUUUAAUAGAAUUCAAAUCAAUCGUUAAUAUUAAUUUAUAUCAAGAUAAAUAAGUUCAAAAUAGAACCCUAAAUGUUGAACUGAACUUAUCUACAAUAUGAACGGUUUGUGUCAUUAAAUGAACUCAAAAUAAAACUCAAAAUUUUUUGAGUUGCACCCAUACAACUUCAGAGAAGCCAGAUCCAUAUUAUAUAUAUGAACAUAAGAAUCUUGAUAUAUUAUCUUUUGGAAAGAGUUUUACUAGAGACAAUGAACAGUGGAUGGAUAAUGCAAAUUCACAUGUGGUGGUACCCACGUGUUUAUUAGCUCAUUGCCAAUGCACUGAACAAAAUAUAUAUUUUUUAUUUUUUUUAUUUUGAAAAUCAUGUCCAAUGUUCUCUUCUACUUUUUAUAUUUCGUGUUUGAUUGGCAACUAGAAAUGGUUAUAAGUUUAUAACACACAUAAUACUGUUCAUGCUUGGUAAUGUUAGAUUUUGUUAAAGUGUUUUUUGGAAAAGCAACCCUUGAAGUAUUUCUGAAAAUAUGCUUAAAUCGACCCUUCAAAAGAAAAAACAAAAGCAUUAAGUAAUUUUUUAAAGGUUUUCCAAAUAUUCACGUACAACGUUUUUCUAGAUAAAAAUUGACAAAAAGCUUCUAGAAAUUUUUCAAAACAUGCUCACUAUAUUCCAAAAGUGUGAAAUAUAAUAUAUCACACGAUUACACUCCCAUGGUAUAUUAUAUCCCCACCAGCAAACAUGGCCCCCUCUCAAUAUUCAUUCAAUGGCUAUGACCAAUCCUUUUUUUCUUAUCCCAAGCCAUAUCCUGAUAUCCUAACCCAAACAAACAUAGUAUAUGUAUUAUUACUUUUUNNNNNNNNNNNNNNNNNNNNNNNNNNNNNNNNNNNNNNNNNNNNNNNNNNNNNNNNNNNNNNNNNNNNNNNNNNNNNNNNNNNNNNNNNNNNNNNNNNNNAAUUCUUUACACUCUUUUAGUAUUUAAGGGAAAAGAUCUUUAAUAAAUUUGGCAGCCCAAUGCUGUAGCAUUAACAUCUAUCAUGUCCCUCUCUCCCAUCUUUAAAAUCUUUCAGUAUUUUAAAAAGACAUCUAUAUUAACCUUGUCAUUGGUCCGAAAAGUUGUGUUGCAUUAAAGCCUAUCAUGUCCUCUAUCUCCAUCUUUACAAUCUUUAGAAUUUCAGGAAAAAAUCCUUCAAUAAAUUUGGAAUUAGCCCAAUGUCGUGUAGCAUUAAAAUCUAUCAUGUCCCUCUCUCCCAACUUUAAAAUCUUUCGAUAUUUUAAAAACAUCCCUAUUAAAACUGGGCAUGGUUCAACAAAAAUCGGUGUAGCCAUUAAAUUCGGAUCAUGUUCACUUCUUCCCAUCUUUAUAAUCUUUUAGAUAUUUAAGGAAAGAUCCUUAAUAAAAUUGGCCAUUGGUCCAAAGUUGUGUUGCAUUAAAGCUAUCAUGCCCUUCUCUCCCAUCUUAACAAUCUUUUAGAUAUUUCAACGGAAAGAUCCUUAUUAAAUUUGGCAUUAGGCCCAAUGUCGUGUAGCAUUAAAAUCCUAUCAUGUCCCUCUCUCCCAUCUUUAAAAUAUUUUAAAUAUUUUAAGAAAACAUCCCUACUAAACUUGGCAUUGGUCCAAAAUCAUGUAGCAUUAAAUCCUAUCCUGUCACUUUCUCCCAUCUUUGAAAUCUCCCACGUAUUUUAUAGAAACAACCCUAAUAAACUUGGCAGUGAUUAGAAGAAGUCUGUAGCAUUAAAGUGUAUCAUAUCCAUCUCUUUUAAAGUAUAAUUUAUUUAUUUAUUUAUUUUAUUAAUUAAUUUAGUUAUCAAGUGUUACAUGGUGGGAGGUCUCAAAUUACUAUUUGUGGCUGAAGAUGGUACCUAGUGAUUCAAAACAUUGACCCAUGCCGAUGCCGUGAAUUGACUGCAAACGGAGGCCAAUUACCCACGUCCCACGUUAUCUUAGUCUUGGGACAUUUCUCAUCUAAACUAAAAAAUUGGAAUUUAAAUGGUGGAAAUUGUUUAUUAAAAAAAAUAAAUUUUUGGCCAAUUUUAUUAAAACGUUCAUUAAAAAAUAAAAGAUCUAGUAAAAAAGCCAAAAUUUUGGAGAUUUGUUAGGAAAAUAAUUUUGGGCCAAUUUUGAAGAAAAAUAAAAGAGUAAUCCUACAUCUUUUGAAGCCAGUCUAGUUGGAUAUGCUUAACUUAGUGAGGUGAUUAAUAUCUGAUAAUUUUUUUAUUCAAAAUCAUAAGAUUAAAUGGAAAAUUGACACCCAAAAUUCACUGCUUCAAUAUUAGGGAAGAAUGGUAAAAUAAAUUGCCACAUUGGUCCAUUUAUGAGGUCCUUUAGCGGGUUUACAAGCUUUCCCCUUGAAUUGGUCUGGGGCCCGAGGGGCAACCAUGUUUCAUGGAGGAGGGAGAGGACUGCACCUUUGUGUUACCAUUUGGAAAAAAAAAAAAAAUAUUAUUAUUUAUUUGAGAUUUUAAAAGCGUUCAAAAGGUGCUUACAAUGUGGCAAUGGGGUCCUUAUGAAAGGAACACGGUCUCUUACCCAACGGUCUGAAAUUUGUACCACGUAGUUGUGGCCUGGAAUGUUCGUGCGUCCCAUUUUUGGCACGAGCAUUCAGUGGCACUUUUCGCCAUGAUGGAGCAAACUGUUGACUGUUGAUCUGUACGAACGAAACUUCCGUCACCGAAAAAACUCAAUUAGGAUGGCUACGAAUAUAGAUGAAUCGAAUUAAUUAAACAAUUUUCAAUGUGGAAAAUUAAACAAACAAAUGAGAGAAUAAAAAACAAAAAUAAAAAAAAAAAUCAAAUUUUAUGUGUGUUCGACACUGUAUUAGGUACAGACUGUCAAACAAGUAAAGGUUCCACUAACAAACCAACGAUUGCCCCGAAGAAGAAGAGCCAAAGGAAAGAGAAAUGUUUGUUGAAAAACUCCUCUCCAAAGCCUCACCAAUAUCAACUAGCAAUUUUCCCCGACCCUAGGUAGACAACUCAAAACAAAAAACUCUCUCUCACAUAAAAAGAUUAAAGACUAACCAAAGUCCCCAAUUGGGGGGUCCAAGGGAAACUAAAAAAAAUUUCUUCAAAAACUUGAAGGUCAUCCAAGUCCCCAUAAAGAUCUUUCAAAGGAACUAGAAAUUUACCAAAGAUUAGAGAAUCUUCCAAAUUUAUAACCAAAAAAUCCUUCGUUAAAAACAAACAAUACCAAAAGUGUUUCUUACCAAACAAGCUCCUAAAACCAAUAAAGAAUUACAAAAAAAUAGAGUUUAGAAAUUCUAAAACGAGUUUAAUUAUUCAAAUCUUACCAAUCAAAACCAAUCUAAUUGUCAAUAUCUAAGUGUGAAGCUGAAAAGGCAAAAUUAUCUUACUUGUCUGAUUCUAAAUUAACAGAUGGUACCUUCUCUAGAUCAAAAUUGAAUUAUUGCUUUUGGGGUUUUCGCAAAACUGAGGAAAUUUUGUUCUAGUGGUUCUUUGUUUUUUUUUGGGACUUUACGUUCGAUUGAUAUUGAUAAUAUUUUCAUUGUGGUUUAGUGGUUUCUCUUAAUGGAGUAUAAAAUAAAAUUAUCGAUUUUAUUUUAUACACAUUUUUUUUUAAGAUACAUGUUUUUCUUUCUUUCAAGUACCAUUUUUUCUUUCUUCACUCGAUGCUUUUAUCGAUUUCGACGAGAAGUUACAAACAUUGCAUACAUUACUUUUUAGGCAACAUUUUUUAUGAAGUGUUAAUUUCGUUAGAAAGGAAAAGCUACUGAGCUGUAGUAGUUGUAUUUUUUAAUAUAUUGUAAUCAGAUGUUGCUAAAUAAAUGAUGCUUUAAAAUGUUUUGAGACAAAUGGUAUAUGAGAAGUUUUUAUCCGGAAAGAUUAGGUACGGAAAAAUCUAUUACUUUCUUGUAGUGAUUUCUUUUCUUUUUUAAGCAUUAUGUAGGGCUCCAUUUAAGAGUUCACUUAGGUCUCCAAAAACUUAGGACUUGCUCUCGAUUCAAUUCAUGUCUAAGUUAGUAAAUAAAGAGAUUACAUACACUGUUGGUUCACUGUAGAAACAAAUUGAAAAGUUUUCAUUUGUUCUGCACGAUCACUAUAUUUCAGGAGACAAACGUCUAAAAUAGUAAACACCUUAACGAUGGAAAAUUCUGUCUUUAAGGACAUAGUGCUAAACACUAGCCUUUGAUUAGUCUCCUUCGAAUUUCUCACUACAAUUUGUUUUAUACAAGGUAUAUCUUCUUCUGCAAUCAGUUAUUUGUGUUCAAACCACAUAAUCUGUUUCUGAUUUUGUUUCUAAAAGUAAUUGUUGUUUCCAAAAGAGUUUUUGGUUAUGUUUCUACAAAAUCAGAUUUUUUAAACAGUUUAGCUUCUGCAAAUUAAAUCUGUUUCUGUAAUUAUAUAUAUAUAUAUAUAUAUAUAUGUAUAUAUAUUUAUAUAUAUAUAUAUAUACACACACACACACAAAAAAAAAAGAAUUAAAAAGUAAAAGCUAAAAAUAAAAAUAGUAAUUUUCACACUUUUUUUUUCCUUCAAUUACACUCUAUUUUGUGUCUUUAUUUGGUAUAAGAUUAUCAAAAUACCCAAGUAUUUAUAUUUCUAAACUACUUUUCUCAAAAUAUUCUAAUUGCAUAGAAGGACAUUUAAGUAUUUUUGCCAAAUAAAAAAAAAGAAAUGGAAUUAGAGAAAAAAAGAAUGUAAAAAUCAUUACCUAAAUUAAUGAAAACAUGCUAAAAUGAAAAUUUUCUGAUGCCAUCUAUUACUUAAAAAAUAUAAUAUUCCGUUUGGAUAUGUGAAUUUCAAAUGCUAUUUAAUUUUUUUUAAAAGAAGAAUAUUUUAAUUACACGUAUUUCAAUUAACACUUAUAUUGGAAAAAGAGAGAGCGGAGUGAGAUGUGUGAAUUUGUCAAAUUACACUAAUUUUGAGUUAUUUAAAAUUCUUUUCAUUUACUAUUGAAAUUCAAAGGGUAAUUUUUCUCAAUCUUAAAUUUUUUUGCUCUAUUCGCCAUCAAAACAUAAUUUUUGCUCUAUUCACCAUCGAAACAUACUCGACGAAUUUGGAAGGAAAAUUUCAAAUUUUUUAUUUUUAAAGGGAAUCUAAGAUCCAUGAAGAAUGACUCAACGCGGAAUUGCUCUAGAAUGGUCCCCAUCAUAGAAGAGUGCACAUCAACCAAGUAAUCAAUUUCAUAUUUUUUAUUUUAUUUUACGGUUACUAUCAGUUUGGUUAUAAAUAGGGAAUCCCAAAAUCUUGUUAUUGUAUGACUAAGAGAAAAAUGGGUUCCAGGAAGUUGCUUGUUUUGGAGAUAUUUCUCUCGACUCUUAUACUUCUCUAUUCUUUUGAAGUGGCUGCAAGGGAACUUUCUUUUGGAGACGUCACACGUAAGUUUCAAUCUGGAUUCUUUCUUUUGGCAACUGCUUUGGGUCGGUUGGUCGGUCGUAUUAGAGUCUCUGGAAGUCAGUUAAGUAUAAAAAAAAAAAAAACUCAAAUUUGUUUUUAAUGGUUUAUAUUACAAACAUUGUGGCAAGAUAUUAUUCGCCUAACAUGCCAAGCAAGAAGCCCAUCAUAUCCAACAUGAUAUUAUACGAACUAGGCUUCUUUACGGAUCAUUUUUGGACUGUAAUUUAAGUAUUUUGAGUUAUUUCAAUGAUUCAAACCGUUUAUAUGUAAACCUCCUACAAAAUAUUAAUUCUGUAAAAAAUUAUUUUGAUUGGAUUCAAAUCAAUAGUUAAAUUUAUUUAAUCAAAAUAAGUGAACUCAAAAUUGAACCCCAAAUUUUGAACUGAACCUAUUUAUAAUAUGAACAAUUUGUAUCAUUAAAAUGAACUCAAAAUAAAAUCCGAAAUGCUUGAGUUGCAUCCGUACAACUUUAGAGAAGCCAGAUCUAUAUUAUAUAUACGAACAUAGGAACUUGAUAUAGUACUUUUUGGAAAGAGUUUUGGUGGAGACAAUGUAUAAUGGAUGAAAAAUGCAAAUUCAUAUGUGGUGGUACCUGCGUUUUUAUUGGCUCAUUACCAAUGCAUUAUACAAAAUGCAUUUCUUUUUCUUUUUUUUUUUGAAAAUCAUGACCAAUGUUCUCUUCUACUUUUUAUAUUUUGUGUUUCGUUGGCAACCAAAGAUCAAAAUUUCAUUUCGAGGGUUUGUUUCUGUUGGCAACGAAAACGUUUUGACUGUUUCGAUGGAAACAAAAUGAAUUUUUGUUCCUUGUUGGCAACUAAAAAUGGUUAUAUGUUUACAACACAUGAGAGAAAUGUUUCGACUGUUUCAAUGGAAAACAAACGAAAUUGUAUCCUGAUGACAACUAAAAAGGUUAUAUAUAUUUAUAACACAUGAGAGAAUACUGUGCAUGUUUGGUAAAACUUAAACAAGGCACGCCUCUUAGAUUUUGUUAAAAGAUUUUUGAAAAAGCAACCCUUGGAGUAUUUCUGAAAAUAUGCUUAAUUCCCCCCUCAGAAGCAAAAAACAAAAGCAUUGUUAAGUAAAUUUUUAAAGGUUUUUCCAACAUUCACGUACAAAUUUUUUCUAGAUUAAAAUUGACAAAAAGCUUCUAGAAAUUUUUUCAAACAUGCUAACUAUAUUCUAAAAAGUGUGAAAUAUAAUAUAUCACCCAAUUUACACUCUCAUAGUAUAUCAUAUCCCCACCGGCAAACAUGGUUACCUCUCAAUAUUCAUUCAAUGGCUAAGAUUAAUCCUUUUUUCCUUAUCCCAAGCCAUAUCCUAAGUUCUUAACCCAAACAAAUAUAGUAUAUAUAAUUUUACUUUUUAUUUAUCAUUUAUUUUAUUGCAUUACAUACAUAGUUAUCAGAACUGAACCGGCGAUUGAACUAAUUAAGGCAUUGGUUCAAUGAUUUACUGAUUCAACCGUGAUUCAACCGGUUAUAUAAUAAAUAAAUAUUUAAAUAAAAAUAAUUAUUAAAAAAUUAUAA
rnacentral:lncRNA from 1 species